GGGGUUGUAGCUCAGUGGUAGGGUGUGUGCUUAGCAUGCAUAAGGCCUCAGGUUCAAUCCCCAGCACCA
rnacentral:tRNA from 1 species